rnacentral:rRNA from 1 species
UACGUAGGGGGCUAGCGUUGUCCGGAAUCAUUGGGCGUAAAGCGUGCGCAGGCGGUUCGUUAAGUCAGAUGUGAAAGCCCCGGGCUCAACCUGGGAACUGCAUUUGAAACUGGCGGGCUUGAGUGUGGCAGAGGGGGGUGGAAUUCCGCGUGUAGCAGUGAAAUGCGUAGAGAUGCGGAGGAACACCGAUGGCGAAGGCAGCCCCCUGGGCCAACACUGACGCUCAGGCACGAAAGCGUGGGGAGCAAACAGG